ensembl:ncRNA lncRNA:CR44230 long non-coding RNA:CR44230
ACAUUUCAGAUGCUGCAUUCGCAUUUCGCAUCUAUUGCGGCUCCACAGAAGAUUAAUUACACUAGCUGCGGCCAUAAAUAAGGCAGGCAAAUACAAACAGCAUUAUUCGCAUUGCGAGGCAUCCGCAGUAAGUGCAUGUUGUAAAAUUCAAAUUAGAAGCCAUCGUGCAGAUUUGCUGCUGUGUGGCCUUGACUUAAAGAAGAAGAAGAAGAAGCAGCAGAAGCGGCAGACGGAAAAGGGGGCCCCCCAUGUCGAUCUAAGCGAUUUGAGCCUGACCUUAGCCCGAGUUGCUGGGCAGCGCGAUAUGUAAAGCAUGCACCUUGAUACUCGGUGAUAUAUUGACAAUGCAUGAUGCAAGUGAGAGGAAAUGCUGAUGCGAGGCGAGUUGUCAGGAAAGGGAAACGAUCGCAGACGCAUAGAUAGUGCACUAGAUGCGGAUCCCAGAAGUGGGCAACUUUCUCCGCACCGGCACAAUGAUGAACUGUUCAAUUUACUUGAAUCAGCGAUACACUAGAUGAGAUACUCCACCUCCAACAACCGGCGGCUAUAAAUCAGCAACCAGAGCCACCCUAUGAAAUUCGCAUAACAAAGGCUAAUUACGCGACACGUUUGGACUUCAUCAUCAUGGAUGGACGGAUUUGUUUGGGAUCUGCUGGCUAUAUCGUGGUCGUGCAUAAUUUUCGGAUCAAUCAGCUGGCCGAAAGAGCGAGACAACGUCGACUUAUAGCCAUAAAUCUAAUGGUCGCCAGCCGCGUUGGCCAUGCCAUGCAAAUGCGAAAGUGGCCAGAAGAAGACCAGCUGGGCACCCAAAAGUGGUAGCCAAGUUAAUAAUGUUGCUUCGUGCUUUAGUGUGGUGGCCUAACUCUAUUCCCAAUGUCAGUUGAGAAAUUAAAAACUAAUUUGAUGGCAAUCCAAAUUACGCACAUUGAGGCAGGCACACACUUGGCGAAAAAUAACCUAUACACUUUUUAUACCG